AUUGAACGCUGGCGGCAGGCCUAACACAUGCAAGUCGAGCGGAUGAAGGGAGCUUGCUCCUGGAUUCAGCGGCGGACGGGUGAGUAAUGCCUAGGAAUCUGCCUGGUAGUGGGGGAUAACGUCCGGAAACGGGCGCUAAUACCGCAUACGUCCUGAGGGAGAAAGUGGGGGAUCUUCGGACCUCACGCUAUCAGAUGAGCCUAGGUCGGAUUAGCUAGUUGGUGGGGUAAAGGCCUACCAAGGCGACGAUCCGUAACUGGUCUGAGAGGAUGAUCAGUCACACUGGAGCUGAGACACGGUCCAGACUCCUACGGGAGGCAGCAGUGGGGAAUAUUGGGCAAUGGGCGAAAGCCUGAUCCAGCCAUGCCGCGUGUGUGAAGAAGGUCUUCGGAUUGUAAAGCACGUUAAGUUGGGAGGAAGGGCAGUAAGUUAAUACCUUGCUGUUUUGACGUUACCAACAGAAGAAGCACCGGCUAACUUCGUG
rnacentral:rRNA from 1 species